CUUUGGUGAUCAGCAUACGUUAAUAUGCCAACGUGCCGAGCCAGAAGGCAAGAGCAUCAAUGUAAUGCGAAGCGCGCUUCGUUUGAUAUCGAGUUUAAUCGCAUAGCAGCCCACCAAUUUUAAACGGUUAAUUUUUAUUUUAUAGCGAAGACGACAAAAUCCGUUGGAUUUUUGCCGAUACAGCAAGCCUAUAUUUGCUCUUGAAAUCGAGAUUAAUAAGCAACUUAUAUUUUUUGUGAAUAAUUAUUGAUACUUAUUUCAGGCCGUUUGACUUUAAAAUAGAGAUUGAAAGGUAAGUUUAUUGCUUUAAUUUGAUAUUUGUAGGUUAUGUUAUGAUGUCUUGUAAUAAUUUAAUUUUUAAUUUUUUAGAAAUAACUUGACUUGCCAAUUUUGUGAGAUGGAAUUUUCAAGUACAUCGACCAAAAACCGACAUAUACGGGCAAAACACUCUGGCCAAGAGGGAUCUGGAUCUGAAAGAAUGCAUCAUAUUUUGUGCCCAAGAUGUACGGACAGGACUAUUUCUUUUUUACUUCAUACAGACUUAAUUAAACAUUUAAAUUCUUUUAAUAGCUUAACUAUUAAUGAAUCUACUUUGCAUUUUAGGAAUUUUUAAGAGUUUUCAGCUUAGAGGACCCAAGAGAAUAGGGAAGUAAAUUAUGCUUGCCGUACACGAAAAAAAUAUCAACACGGUGAAGAAAAAAUAUUUUAUGAGUGUAACAGAGGUUGUGUGUUUACUAAUAUGUGAGUAGGCAUAUAAUGUCUCAUAUUUUUUAGGGAUUUGUCAGCUCAGCUAAAAAACGAAGUGUGAAAACUGGAGGUAGUAUUCAUAUUCAUGGGACAUAUCCUUCAAGAAUUGUAGUUAGCAUUUCAACUGAGGGAUUUGUGACGGUAAAGUUUGUCGAAAAACAUGUAGGACACAAUGAUGAACUAAGGACCAAAAGCUGAACAGGAGACUAUGGUCGAAAAACUAAGUGCAUAUGAUGUUACCCAUUUUAUUCAGGAAACGAAGCAAGAUCUCCAUGUAGACACUAUUGCAUUUGAAGAUAGGCAACAGGUCAUUUUGCAAGAAAUGCUUUGCUUUGCUCGCAGCUUGGACGAAGAAUCUUUUGGGAAAUUUGUUGAUAUUUUUAGGACAUUUAAGAGGGA